UGAUGCUAGAGAAUGGAGUUAC
rnacentral:siRNA from 1 species